CUACGGGUUGCUGCAGUGAGGAAUAUUGCACAAUGGGGGAAACCCUGAUGCAGCAACGCCGCGUGGAGGAUGACGCAUUUCGGUGUGUAAACUCCUUUUAUAUGUCAAGAAAAUGACGGUAGCAUAUGAAUAAGCACCGGCUAACUCCGUGCCAGCAGCCGCGGUAAUACGGAGGGUGCAAGCGUUACUCGGAAUCACUGGGCGUAAAGGACGCGUAGGCGGGUUGGAAAGUCAGGUGUGAAAUCCUACAGCUUAACUGUAGAACUGCACUUGAAACUUCUAAUCUAGAGUAUGGGAGGGGGAGAUGGAAUUAGUGGUGUAGGGGUAAAAUCCGUAGAUAUCACUAGGAAUACCUAAAGCGAAGGCGAUCUCCUGGAACAUUACUGACGCUAAGGCGUGAAAGCGUGGGGAGCAAAAAGGAUUAGAUACCCUGGUAGUC
rnacentral:rRNA from 1 species